rnacentral:rRNA from 1 species
UACGAAGGGUGCAAGCGUUACUCGGAAUUACUGGGCGUAAAGCGUGCGUAGGUGGUGAGUUAAGUCUGUCGUGAAAGCCCCGGGCUCAACCUGGGAAUGGCGAUGGAUACUGGCUCGCUAGAGUGCGGUAGAGGAGAGUGGAAUUCCCGGUGUAGCAGUGAAAUGCGUAGAGAUCGGGAGGAACAUCAGUUGCGAAGGCAGCUCUCUGGACCAGCACUGACACUGAGGCACGAAAGCGUGGGGAGCAAACAGG